CACCUUGGCUCAAGGAGGUGCCGGCAUAAAAUUGGAACGAUACAGAGAAGAUUAGCAUGGCCCCUGCGCAAGGAUGACACGCAAAAUCGUGAAGCGUUCGAUAAAGUU